rnacentral:lncRNA from 1 species
UGUAAUACUGACAAUCAAAUGAAGACAAAAACAUUUCAAUCUCAUUUCACGAAGUGGUCAUCCCAUCCAGCAAAGCCAUGACAUCACUCCAAGAUUCCUCUUACUUAGUAUGACAAAGACAAACUACAUCAAACACCAUCGAACAAUCCAAAACAUACCUCUUUUUUGGAAUUACAACUCAACUUUAAACACUGCUAAAGUUCAGUAGUGCUGCAUGCACUCUAAAUUUUUUAUUUAUUUAUCUAUCAGUGUCUAUUGUGUAUCAAGAAGUGAAAAUUCAAGAUGAAGAAAGCACAAGUGGUGAUCAUCCCUCAUCCUGGUUUGAGCCACCUAGUUUCAACUCUUGAGUUUGCUAAGCUUCUAAUCAACCGUGAUAACCGUCUUCGAAUAACCGUCUUAGUUAUGAAAUUCCCGAACAACACUGAACCCGAUGCCAACAUUGAAUCUCUUCCCAUCUCAGAUUCACUUCAUCUCAUCAACCUUCCUGAAGUUUCACUUCCUCCAAACAUUGAUCGACGUUCCGCCGUCGUUAGCGCUCUCCUCGAAGCUCAAAAACCAAACAUCAAACAAGCCGUCUCUAACCUCACCGCCGAAGAAGACCAACAUGGACCCCUAGCCGCUUUUAUCGUCGACAUGUUCGGCACUACCAUGGUUGAUAUUGCUAAAGAAUAUUCUGUCCCUGCGCUCGUAUUCUUCACUUCCGGCGUUGCUUUCCUUGGUUUGAUGUUUCAUCUUCACACUCUCUUCGAAAGAGACAACGGCGAUUUGACUCGGUUUCUGCAGCAGAACGAGUUGGCCAUCCCGGGUUUCAACAACCUGGUUCCUUCAUACUCGUUGCCCAGUUUUGUGCUGGAUAAGGAAUGGGAGUCGUUUUUCAUAAACUAUGCAAGUGGCCUCAAGAAACCAAAUGGCUUUAUAGUAAAUUCAUUUGAAGAGCUUGAAUCACACGCAGUUCACUCUUUUUUCUCUCAUCCUGAUCUAGCAGGCUUACCAACUAUAUAUCCUGUGGGACCCUUAUUAAACCCUUACCUCAAAACAGAUAAAGUCGUUGGAUCCGAGGAUAUCAUCAAGUGGCUUGAUGAUCAACCUUCUUCCUCGGUAGUUUUUCUCUGCUUCGGGAGCAUGGGUUCUUUCGACGAGGAGCAGGUUAAGGAGAUAGCACUUGCUAUUGAAAAUAGUGGUGUUCGCUUCGUCUGGUCUCUGCGUAAACUAUCACCGAAAGGCUUUAGGCACCCGCCGUCAAAUUAUUCACUUUCAGAAUUGGAAUUGCUUUUACCUGAAGGAUUUUUAGACCGGACUGCUGAAACAGGAAAGGUUGUUGGUUGGAUCCCACAGGCUCAGAUACUUGCCCACCAAGCUAUAGGAGGAUUUGUUUCGCACUGUGGUUGGAAUUCCAUACUGGAGAGCAUAUAUUUUGGUGUGCCUAUUGCCGCGUGGCCUCUUUAUGCGGAACAACAGACAAAUGCUUUUGAAUUGGUGUGUGAUUUGAAGAUGGCUGUGGAGGUUGCAUUGGACUAUAGGGUGGACUUUUAUGGCGAGCGUAACUAUCUUUUAACUGCAGAUAAGAUUGAGAGAGGAAUAGAGAGUGUGUUGGAUAAGAAUGGAGAAGUAAGGAAGAAAGUAAAAGAAAUAAGUGAAAAAAGUAAGAAGACUUUGUUAGAAGGAGGAUCAUCCUACAAUUAUGUAGGCAAUUUGAUUGAUUUUAUUAUGAAUCAGGUAAGAGAUUAAAUUGUUCUAGAACCCUUUACAAGGGAGUCAUGUGAUAUAAGUUUAAUUCUCAACCUAAAUAAUGCUUAGUUUUUGGUUUGAGAAUUUUUCUGUUUUGUAUUACUUUAGUCUUAUAUCCUGUCACCAAAAACUUCUGUUAAUUCUUUAUAAAUAUAAUUUAGAAGUCCCAUAAUAAUGGUAAAAAGUUGCUACAUGAUGAAGGAUGGAUGAGAAACUGAGACUAUCCGUUGUACUUGACUUUCCAUAUCCUAAUAUCCUAUAUGUUACCGAAGGAAACAAAGGGGUAUGGUGAGUUUCAUUGAUUGUGGCUGAAGUAAACAAGUCAAUAAUGAGAGGAAUGAUUCAAGAUUUGUCCCCUAAAUCUAUAAUGUUGAAAACAAAAUGCUGAUUCAAAUGAGCAUCCUCUUGUUUUUUUUUUAAAUUAACAAGCCAUUAUGUAGUCUCAUCCCCACAGUGGGAUAUUUCUGGUUUAUAAAUCUGUUACCUAUUCAAACUAUGAAUUUAGCACCUCUAGACACAUAACUUAUAUGUUAGAAUGGUAUAAUAAAACAUCUCAAAUGAAAAAGAUUAAGCACAUUGCUUCCAUGUAAAAAUAUGUUGAGUACAUCAAACACAAUCAAAAUAAAAAAGGAUAAUUUGAUUUGAUUUUGGAUUCACAAUGUAAUCAAUCAAACCAUCUAAAUAAAUGUAAGAAGAUUCACCCUCUAACAAAGUUUUUCUACUUUUUUCACUCAUCUCUUUCACAUUCUCUCUUACCUCUCCAUCUUUAUCCAACACACUCCUUAUUCCUCUGUCAAUUUUAUCCACAGUUACAAAAUAGUUAGGUCCACUAUUAACCUCCACCCUAUAAUCCAACACAAUCUCCACACCUCUAUCCAAUCAACCAUCACCCAUAGCACAUUAUGUUGGACAGACCGCCUUCAAUCACGCAAGCAAGUUAUAGUAGGCAAGAAGCACCGACAAAUCGAAUUCUUGACGUUAGGAGGUGUUCAAACAUGCCAAAUAAGGUCUCACUUCCACGGUUGCUAAUGUCCGAUUUAUUGAUUAGCUCAUUAUAAUCAUGUACUACUAGAAAAUGGAUUUGAAGCAGAAAAUCAUGUAAUACUAGAAAAUGGAUUAGAAUCCAAAAAUGGAAUAAUAUAAAAAAGAUCCACACAAGUACCAUCCUACAAUGUAAUGUAAUUAUUAAUGGCGGAACAUCAUGAAUGAUGAUUUAACUAGAAUUUUCGUGAAUUAUAGAUGCUUUCUUAAAGCAUUUCUUUCAAAACAAAAUGUCUACUCUUAUUAUCACAUGCCUGUAUUUCCAUGAACCUUUCAUAUAAUGUAUCUAAUCAGAUUACUCAUUUCCUUAUCUUCCAUCACCUUUUCAACUCCUUCUUCAACAUCCUUCAUACCACGCCCAUUCAGCCUUAAACCAACUCUCCAUGCCUCAACAAUAUACGCACAGUUCAGAAACUGAUCUCCGGCCAAAGGGUAGCACAGCAUCUUUUUUCGAAAUUCUAAAAAUUCUCUUUUGAUUCCUUUUUAAAUAAAUAGUACUACAGUACCUGGCUCCCACCAUCUAUCCUUUUCUCCCAUGACAUGAAGACAAAAACAUUUCAAUCUCAUUUCACAACGUUGUCAUCCCAUCCAGCAAAGCCAUGACAUCACUCCAAGAUUCCUCUUACUUAUGACAAAGACAUACAUCAAACACCAUCUAAUAAUCCAAAACAUACCUCUUUUUGGGAAUUAAAACUCAAAUGUAAACACUUCUAAAAACCAGUGGUGUCUCAUGCACUCUAUAAUUUUUAUUUAUUUAUCUAUUAGUGUCUAUUGUGUAUCAAGAAGUGAAAAUUCAAGAUGAAGAAAGCACAAGUGGUGAUCAUCCCUCAUCCUGGUUUGAGCCACCUAGUUUCAACUCUUGAGUUCGCUAAGCUUCUAAUCAACCGUCAUAACCGUCUUCGAAUAACCGUCUUAGUUACGAAAUUCCCAAACAACACUGAACCCAAUGUCAACACUGCAUCCCUCCCCAUCUCCGAUUCACUUCAC